rnacentral:rRNA from 1 species
AGUCACGAGAAUUGUUUAAGUCUCCCUGCAGGGAAGGCCGGCCCCAAUUCAAAACGCCACAGGUAACUACGGGCCAGGCAGACGCGGUAAUACGUAGGUGGCAAGCGUUAUCCGGAAUUAUUGGGCGUAAAGCGCGCGUAGGCGGUUUUUUAAGUCUGAUGUGAAAGCCCACGGCUCAACCGUGGAGGGUCAUUGGAAACUGGAAAACUUGAGUGCAGAAGAGGAAAGUGGAAUUCCAUGUGUAGCGGUGAAAUGCGCAGAGAUAUGGAGGAACACCAGUGGCGAAGGCGACUUUCUGGUCUGUAACUGACGCUGAUGUGCGAAAGCGUGGGGAUCAAACAGGAUUAGAUACCCUGGUAGUCCACGCCGUAAACGAUGAGUGCUAAGUGUUAGGGGGUUUCCGCCCCUUACUGCUGCAGCUAACGCAUUAAGCACUCCGCCUGGGGAGUACAACCGCAAGGGUUGAAACUCAAA